AAAUAAAUUAUCCAAUUAUUCCAGUCACAGGAAAGGUCUUACAUCUUGAACAAAUAAAAAUAGUAAUGACUAAACUUUUUUUCAUUUUUUUUUCUCAAUCUUUGAAGUAAAAAAGCGUCUGUUCAAGCCGCCAUCUUGGCACCUCCCAACAGCUAGCAAGAUGCCCACAACAGAGAGAGAGCAAUGACGUGGUGCACAUCUGCACAUAUGAGAUGUACUAUCACAUUUUUGGGGACCACGUUUGGCUGUCGUCAGCGGACAGCUCGGCGACAGCCUCCAUUGCAGGACGCAGGUCCCCAAUGGCAGACCCCAGAAUUUCCCUAAAGGUGAAGCUGGAGGCCUUGUCUAUCACCAUGGUGCGGGCGUGGCCACAGGAGCUGAAUCAGGGGUGUAGACACCGCCUCCAGGAGCUCCUUACAAUGGGAAACAUCCUUCUUGCCACAGGGACAAUGUAUCAGAUGGAGACCAAUCAUUUCAAGUAUAGACUAUGAAAAGCAUGGAUGGCAUCUCAUCAUUUCUGUCAAAUUGCCUCACAAUAGCAAUUAAUGUAUGUUAAAGGCCCAGUGCAGUCAAACUCCCAGACAAUCCUAACAAAGUUCUGGCUUGAGAAAUUGCCCUUUUUUCAAUUAAAAUGGUCAAAAAGUAGCAUUCACCUUUUAGGUACUUAAAUGUCAUUGUAACCACUUAAAUUCCUAGACAGAGCUAUUGAUGUAAGGACUGACCAUCCAUCAUAUAAAAAUGAGUUUUAACCAUGUUUUGUGGCUAUACAGUUUGGUUACAUUAUAUACAAACAUUGGAGUAAAACAAACUUAUAAUUUGGGUUCUGAUGGGGGAUGACAAUUGAACUAAGCUUGAGGCAUUUAAGUUAUAUUCUUCAAGCAUCAAUGGGUGUCUAUACCAUUAAGUCCAAAAAUGUCUGUAGCAACUAAGGACUCUAGGGUAUAUUUGGAAAGUUAACCUCACUUUGUUCUUUAGCAGGGGUGUAAAACUCACUGCAAGUUUUUGUUUUUUCCUAUCAAUUAAGACCUAGACAACCAGGUGAGGGGGGUUCCUUACUAAUUAGUGACCUUAAUUCAAUCAAUCAAGUACAAGGGUGGAGUGAACCUGUAGACACUCGGCCCUCCGUGGAAUGAGUUUCCUGUGUUCUACAGUCUAGCUUAGUUGGUGUGGAGGUGGUGGCAGGACUCACCUGUGGGCGUUUCCACCUCCUUUCUCCAGCACCUGGAUGAUUUCAGAUGAUAGGUGGGCGGGGCAGAACUUUCUUUCCAUUCCUAUUAGUGAUGACUUCGGGCAGGGAGGCCAGAAUCUCUGAUAGGGACGGCCUGCUUCACCAGCUUAGUGUCAUCUAUGCAGUCAAAGGCAGCGAGGAGGACUAAGAACACACACUCUCCCUGAAGAGAAAAUUAACAGACCAAUAAGUCAGCCACACACACACUGACGUUUACAUAUUUGCAUGGCGAUCAAAUUGUGGCGAUCAAAUUGUUGUUGGCUGACCAUUGCAAACUUCCUGAUGUACGUCUUCAUGGUUUUAAUGAUGACUUUUCUGUCCUGAAAGGUAGAACCAAUAAAUCAGUGUACAUACAUAGGACACACACUAGUCUGUGGUUGGUGAGGAUCAUAUCUCUAGAAGGCCUGAGUGAAUACUCACCUUAGGUGUCCCAUGCCACAGGCAGUGCAUUGCGACUUUAGCUCCAUCGUGGGUGGGGGCCAUAUACAACAGACUCCCUUAUCAACCCAAUAAUUUCCUGUUAAGUUACAUGAUCAAAAUGGUUUUAGAAACAUGGUAGGAUUCCCUCAGUAAUUUCUACAGUCAUUGCUGGUUCUACUUACAGUCCUUUGUUUGGCUGGGGCAUGCAGGGUAAAGUGCA